UGGGGAAUAUUGGACAAUGGGCGCAAGCCUGAUCCAGCAAUGCCGCGUGUGUGAAGAAGGCCUUCGGGUUGUAAAGCACUUUUAUCAGGAACGAAAAGCGUGGGGUUAAUACCUUUACGUGCUGACGGUACCUGAGGAAUAAGCACCGGCUAACUUCGUGCCAGCAGCCGCGGUAAUACGAAGGGUGCAAGCGUUAAUCGGAAUUACUGGGCGUAAAGCGUGCGUAGAUGGUUUGUUAAGUCGGAUGUGAAAGCCCCGGGCUCAACCUGGGAACUGCAUCCGAUACUGGCAGACUAGAGUGUGGUAGAGGAUGGCGGAAUUCCCGGUGUAGCGGUGAAAUGCGUAGAGAUCGGGAGGAACAUCCGUGGCGAAGGCGGCCAUCUGGACCAACACUGACGUUGAGGCACGAAAGCGUGGGGAGCAAACAGGAUUAGAUACCCCAGUAGUCCCUGAGCGGGCUGGCAAGGCGC
rnacentral:rRNA from 1 species